rnacentral:tRNA from 1 species
GCGGAAGUGGCGGAAUGGCAGACGCGCUGUCUUCAGGCGGCAGUUCUUAAUCGAGUGUGGGUUCAAAUCCCAUCUUCCGCA